rnacentral:rRNA from 1 species
GACGAACGCUGGCGGCGUGCCUAAUACAUGCAAGUCGAGCGAACGGACGAGAAGCUUGCUUCUUUCACGUUAGAGGCGGACGGGUGAGUAACACGUGGAUAACCUACCUAUAAGACUGGGAUAACGUCGGGACACCGGAGCUAAUAACGGAUAAUCUCUUAAUCCUAAUUGUUCAAUAGUGAAAGACGGUCUUGUUGUCACUUAUCGAUGCCUCCGCGCUGCAUUAUCUAGUUGGUAAGUUAACGGGUUACCAAGGCAACGAUGCAUAACCGACCUGCGAGGGUGACCGCCCACCCUGGAACUGAGACCCGCUCCAGACUCCUACGGGAGGCAGCAGUAGGGAAUCUUCCGCAAUGGGCGAAAUCCUGCCGGAGCACCGCCGCGUGAGUGAUGAAGGUCUUCGGUCCGUAAGACUCUGUUAUUAGGGAAGAACAGAUGUGUAAGUAACUGUGCACAUCUUGACGGUACCUAAUCAGAAAGCCACGGCUAACUACGUG